rnacentral:lncRNA from 1 species
AUCUAGCCGAGAAGCCCCUAUUGGAGACUUUUCUGCUAAAGACAACCUGUCUAGGAGAUCAGCAGCUGGUGGAACAAUGACCAGCCAACUUUAUGAGACUGUUCAAGGCUACAGGGCCAGUAGAGCAGCAUCCAGCAGAGGCUCAUGGGGAGCAAGACAAAAGGAGCAGCAUAGGAACCUCACUGAACGCUGUACUGGGGGCAUGAGUUGUCUUUCCAGCUACACUGCAUCAGGGUCCUGGUGUUUCAAUGAAGUCGUGAGGAAGUAUGGAUUACAAGAGACAAAUCUUCUUUGCUUCAAUGCACUGAAACCUGGGUCAUCAUCAGUCAUCUUGAUGCAUUUGAACGACUCUGGAAGAGGGACUGAAGCCAACUACUACUGUGCAACUCUGCCUCAGUUAAAUACAAUUGCGGUGCAAGUCAUCACCCUUAUGAUGUCAUUGGUUUUCUUUGAAAAUGAAGGACAACAAUAACAAAGGCCCUUUCCCCCUCCCUUUUACCAACCCUUUCCGUUUUAACUACCCAGGGGUAAAUAAAAUUGGUCUAACC